rnacentral:rRNA from 1 species
GACGUAGGGCGCGAGCGUUGUCCGGAUUUAUUGGGCGUAAAGAGCUCGUAGGCGGUUUGUCGCGUCUUGCUGUGAAAUCCCGAGGCUCAACCUCGGGCCUGCAGUGGGUACGGGCAGACUGGAGUGCGGUAGGGGAGAAUGGAAUUCCUGGUGUAGCGGUGGAAUGCGCAGAUAUCAGGAGGAACACCGGUGGCGAAGGCGGGUCUCUGGGCAGUAACUGACGCUGAGGAACGAAAGCGUGGGUAGCAAACAGG